rnacentral:lncRNA from 1 species
AUUUUUUGUUUCUUCUGCUAGAAUGGAACUCCACAAGGGCAAGAAGCUGUGACAGUUAUUGCUGCAUCCACACCAAGAGCCUUAAGCUGGUCCAUCGUAGGUGUUUAGUAAGUGAACUAAUAGCAAGGCUUGACUCAUCUCUUUUUUGUGUGUGUGGCAGGCACUGGGGGUUGACCUCAGAGGCACUGGGACACUGAGUCACAUCCCCAGCCCUGUUUCAUAUUUUAUUUAGAGACAGAGGCUCACUUUUGCUGAGGCUGGCUUUGAACUUGUGAUCCUCCUGCCUCAGCCUUCCUGAGCUGCUGGGAUUACAGGAGUGUGCCACCACACCCGGCUCAUCUCUUUUCUUUAUAGCCACAUUGGGUCCAAUAUUUGUGAGUGAGAUUUACUUUUAAAAUACACAAGGGCCUAACCACUUCUCACUAUUGCUACUGUUAAGCCCCCAACCCAUCUUUCUUAGAGUAUCCCAGUAGCCUCUUACCUGUUUUCCCUGUUGCAUAUCAGCCUUGGCCUACUGGAAUCUACUCUUCAUUGCAUAUGGUAGUUGGAUGGUCUCUUUCAAGCAUAAAUCAGAACAUGUUCCUUGGGCACACAAAUCUCUCCGAUGCCUCUCCACAACAGACCAUGGUCUGCAGAAGGCCCUGCCGCAUCCUGGUCCUUGUUCCCUACCAUUCUUUCUCUCACUCAUGCUUUCUGGCUACCAUGGCCUCUUGCUUGCUGUGGUUGGAUAGUCACUUUUUCUCUGGACUCGGUGCUUUAUCCAGCCUUAAACACUGCCUGGCAAACUUCCCCUUAGGACGUUACGCCAGCUCUCUGUAGAAGCAUCACAUUUUUGCGAGGCCUUCCUUGACCAGUGGCCUGUCACUUCUUACCAUUCCACAAGCUGUGCCUGUUCUAACUUACUUUCUCCAUGGCACCACUUCUUCUUCUCUCUCUUUUUUUUAAAAUAUUUUUUUUUAGUUGUAGAUGGACACAACAUCUUUAUUUGCUUAUUUAUUUAUUUAUUUUUAAUGUGGUGCUGGGGACCGAAUCCAGGGCCUCAGAUAUUCGAGGCAAACACUCUACAAAGCUACAACCCCAGCCUUGGCACUUCUUAUUAGAAGUAAAAUGUAUUUGGUUAUUUGUUCAUUGACUCGUUUCUUCCUGAGACAGUCAACCGCAAGAAGGCAGGGAUCUUUGAGCCGAUUUGCCUUGCAUUCCCAAGGUUCAGAAGUACCUGGCUUAGAGUGCUGCUCAGUAGACAUUUGUUGAAUGAACAAAUGGAAGGCCCUUCCUGAGGUAGCACCGAAUCCUUACUGGUGCUUGCACUGUAUACAGGAGAAAGGAGGUGCCGUUGCAUUCUAGGAAGCAAUGACGACUUUUUUUCUUUUUAGAUUUAUUGAUUCAUUAGUUCUAACCAGUUAUACAUAACCGUAGAAAGCUCC